rnacentral:lncRNA from 1 species
GUACUUCACCAACCAGAGGGAAGAGUUUGAGGGCACCAGGGAGAGCAUUCUGGUUUGGCUCACAGAAAUGGACCUGCAACUGACCAACGUAGAGCACUUCUCAGAGAGCGAUGCUGAGGACAAGAUGAGACAACUGAACGUGAGUGCUGCUUCCUCAGCACCUUGGAAAGGCGCCUCUGUAAAAGACAGCCAAGUGCCAGUUUUAGCUGGUACUGAGAAUUCCAGAAUUCUCCAGGCAACAGGCUACACUUCACCUAUGUACUUAUAUUGCUAAUUCUGGGCCUUUUAGUAGACAGCUCAUUCCGAGGACAAAGCUCAUUUUUUAGGUUACAGACUGAACUUUAUCAACUUCCGUGUCUCUGGUACCCUGAGUUCACUCAGGGCUGCCUUGGUGUCACUGGUGAGGCCAAGAACAG